rnacentral:rRNA from 1 species
CCUUUAGAUGGGCCCGCGUUGGAUUAGCUAGUUGGUGGGGGUAAAGGCCUACCAAGGCGACGAUCCAUAGCUGGUCUGAGAGGAUGAUCAGCCACACUGGGACUGAGACACGGCCCAGACUCCUACGGGAGGCAGCAGGUGGGGAAUAUUGGGACAAUGGGCGAAAGCCUGAUCCAGCAAUGCCGCGUGAGUGAUGAAGGCCUUAGGGUUGUAAAGCUCUUUUACCCGAGAUGAUAAUGACAGUAUCGGGAGAAUAAGCUCCGGCUAACUCCGUG